rnacentral:tRNA from 1 species
CCUGGUGGCUCAGAUGCUAAAGCGUCUGCCUGCAAUGCAGGAGACCUGGGUUUGAUUCCUGGGUCAGGA